rnacentral:lncRNA from 1 species
GCCUUCGUUACUCGGUAAUAGGUAGGAGGAAUGCAUCACGUAUUGGAGUGUUACACGUUUGCACUCCAAUACGUGUUACUGAGCACUGCUGCAGCGCAGCUAUAUGCCAGGUGUAGUCUAGUCAUUCUGCUAGUUAGUCAAUAGCUGCUUAGUCUGCUAUUUAGUCAAUAGCUGCUGCCUUGGACCAAUUCAACUCGAAUUGUUUGACAUCUGUCCUGACGAAACCCGAUUGAACCAGAUCCGGGACAAAUAAAUCGAUUGGUUAUCGAAGGCAAUUAUUGCAACGGGUAUAAAUGUCGCAUGUUCAUCGCUGAUCGAUCCACAGUUUCAACCGACUCUGCACAAUCGAGCUGAAAAUGAAAGUCUUUGCUAUCUUUGUCCUGCUUGCCGUCUGCAUCGCUGUCGUAUCGGCCGACCAUCAUGGCAAAAAGCCCAAUCAUGGUUCCCAUUCAGGAACUCGUCAUCCUGGCACCCACAAGCCUCACCACCAUCAUACGCGCAAACCCAGAGAUCUGAGUGAUGAACCGGAACUUCGCGCCAAUACUCGUGCCCCUAAGCCAACGCGUAAGCCAAACCCUACUCAUGGGCCCAAGCCGUCCGCUAAGCCAAAGCCGACUAGCGCACCCAAGCCGACUCGUCGACGUGGACCCGUCGCUCCUUCGCGCAAGCCAACAACUCGUAAGCCUUAAGUGGCGAAGACGUUAGCCUAUAUAGAGCUCACUGAUUUCAAUCAGUUGUGGCCGGAUACCGUUCUGCAUGCAGAUCUGAUCAUCUGGUGUAUACUACAGGUGACAGACGGAGACGAUACCCGCGGUUUCCAUUAAAUAGGCUCAAAAAUUUUAAAAAAUGGUAUAUUUCAUUUGUUGGAUUUAAUCGGUGAUUUUUGUUGAUUUCUGAUUAAAUAAAAACGAAUUAAAUCGCCUGAAAAUGUGUAUUGGUUUCUGAAUUAAAAGACCCUGUCGAAGGCCAGAGGUUUGUGUUCUUAAGUUGUGGUUUAAACUUUAAACUGAAUUGUGCAUGAUUUUCUUUUUUUCUAAUUCCAGCAUACCAGACAUUCUUAGUUAUAAUAUUCAUCGUAAUUAUCUGGAGUUUCUAUUGAUGUUGGUAGGUCACUAACCCCAGCAUUGAGUCCAUUGACACUAGUUGUUUUUUCCAAACAUGUUUAGAUAUGUUAACAUAGAGACAGCUAUGGGAGCAUAAUCGAGGUCAUGGGUAAAUCUUCAUCAGGUUUAUUGCAGCAACUUGAAGAAUUCACAUGAAAAGAUGCAGGGCAAGGGCACAUACCAACAUGUGUUGUAUUUUUCUGAAUCUUUUACUCAAGUAGUAGAUGCGACAUGCCGAC